rnacentral:rRNA from 1 species
CCCGCACAAGCGGUGGAGUAUGUGGUUUAAUUCGAUGCAACGCGAAAAACCUUACCUGCCCUUGACAUCCUCGGAACUUGUCAGAGAUGACUUGGUGCCUUCGGGAACCGAGAGACAGGUGCUGCAUGGCUGUCGUCAGCUCGUGUCGUGAGAUGUUGGGUUAAGUCCCGCAACGAGCGCAACCCUUGCCAUUAGUUGCUACGAAAGGGCACUCUAAUGGGACUGCCGGUGACAAACCGGAGGAAGGUGGGGAUGACGUCAAGUCCUCAUGGCCCUUAUAGGUGGGGCUACACACGUCAUACAAUGGCCGGUACAGAGGGUAGCCAACCCGCGAGGGGGAGCCAAUCCCACAAAGCCGGUCGUAGUCCGGAUCGCAGUCUGCAACUCGACUGCGUGAAGUCGGAAUCGCUAGUAAUCGCGGAUCAGCAUGUCGCGGUGAAUACGUUCCCGGGUCUU